GGCUCCCCAAAGAAGUGGUCACUGCACCAAGCCUAUCUGAGUUCAAGAAGUGUUUGUACAGUGCUCUCAGGCACAGGAUGUGAUUCUUGGGGAUCGGAAGAGAGUC